rnacentral:SRP_RNA from 1 species
GCCGGGCGCUGUGGCGGGCGCCUGUAGUCCCAGCUACUCGGGAGGCUGAGGCAGGAGAAUGGCAUGAACCCGGGAGGUGGAGCUUGCAGUGAGAUGAGAACCAGCCACUGCACUCCAGCCUGGGUGACAGAGCAAGACUCUGUCUCAA